rnacentral:rRNA from 1 species
AUACGUAGGUGGCAAGCGUUGUCCGGAAUUAUUGGGCGUAAAGCGCGCGCAGGCGGUCCUUUAAGUCUGAUGUGAAAGCCCACGGCUCAACCGUGGAGGGUCAUUGGAAACUGGGGGACUUGAGUGCAGAAGAGAAGAGUGGAAUUCCACGUGUAGCGGUGAAAUGCGUAGAGAUGUGGAGGAACACCAGUGGCGAAGGCGACUCUUUGGUCUGUAACUGACGCUGAGGCGCGAAAGCGUGGGGAGCAAACAGGAUUAGAUACCCUGGUAGUCCACGCCGUAAACGAUGAGUGCUAAGUGUUAGAGGGUUUCCGCCCUUUAGUGCUGCAGCAAACGCAUUAAGCACUCCGCCUGGGGAGUACGGCCGCAAGGCUGAA